AAGGAAAAAAAAAAAAAACCUCACGAUGAAAAUUCCACACGUUACUAGGAUUACUUCAUAAACAGCACAUUCUUGACUCUGGAAUUCCCCCCAGACUCUGAACUGAGCUUACCCAUACAGAAAAAAACUGAAUUCAUUUGGAAAUGGGAGGAAAGCGGGGCAAAAUGUUAUCUUGGAGCUAUGACAUUUGGCUUCCAGUGGCCACACAAAAUGGACACACAUCAAAUGUCAGGCAGGCUGAUAAGGGACAGGAAGUAACCCUGUCAACACAACCAGCCCAACCUUCCCUGGCGGCAAAACCCUGGAUGCAGCAAUGCCUGGGCUCUAACUGCCCAUCACCCAGGGCAUGAGCAAAGCUGCGCCUGCAGGAAGAGCAUGGAGAGAUGAGACUUCAGUGAGCUUCUAUUCCAAGACUUUGGGGAAAAAGUUCAGAUGGGUGACACAGAGACAGAGACGAGGACUCACGGCUCCAAUCUAACCAUGGCACACGCUGCGUUCUCCUUCUGGAUUGAUGGCUCUUCCUCUUGGUUUUGGAAAACAGCAUUUAUACAGUACUUGAGACCACAUUCUUCUCCAUGUGUUGGCAGAGAAGCCUGGCCCAUAGAAAAAUCUCCAGCUUGCUUGCAGACCAAAAUCCAAAUGGAUUGUGGGGCUUUUUGUUGUUGUUGUUGUUUUGGGGGGGUGCACUUGCGGCAUAUGUAGGUUCCCAGGCUAGAGGUUGAAUCGGAGCUACAGAGCUGUAGAGAGCUAUAGCUGCCAGCCACAGCCACAGCAAUGCAGGAUCCGAGCCACAUCUGCGACCUACACCGCAGCUCAGAGCAACACCGGUUCCUUAACCUACUGAUCAAGGGCAGGGAUCAAACCCACUACCUCAUGGUUACUACUCAGAUUCAUUUCUGCUACACCACAACAGGAACUCCCCUCCCCCCCUUUUUUAGGAAAAGAUAAAUGUUAAAGUGAAGCACCCCAACCAACAUUUUUCCCUGUAGGACAAAAUGAUGGCAAAUGAGCAAGAAUUCAGGAGCAGAGCAAAAUGGAGAAACUGGCUGAAGACAGAGCAGGAAAGUUAAAGAGGUAUAAAGAUGGACUGAGAGCUUUUAAGUGAAUCAAAAAAAAUAAAGGGAAUUUAAAGGUUGUUCUUGGGAGCUCC
rnacentral:lncRNA from 1 species